rnacentral:rRNA from 1 species
UACGUAGGGACCAAGCGUUGUUCGGAUUUACUGGGCGUAAAGGGCGCGUAGGCGGCUUUGUAAGUCACUUGUGAAAUCUCUGAGCUUAACUCAGAACGGCCAAGUGAUACUGCAAUGCUAGAGUGCAGAAGGGGCAAUCGGAAUUCUUGGUGUAGCGGUGAAAUGCGUAGAUAUCAAGAGGAACACCUGAGGUGAAGACGGGUUGCUGGGCUGACACUGACGCUGAUGCGCGAAAGCCAGGGGAGCAAACGGG